CCUGUAUAAAGGAAACACAAGCACAAAAUCGAUUGUGGAAGUUUUAUUGAAGAAACCCAAGCAUCCAACAUCUGGCGACCGUCAAAAGAACCUUGAAAAUUCUUCGGAAAAGAAUAUUUUUUCAUUCGGAUGGUCAAGCCGAAAAAUCGGUCAGAAGCUUAUUCGUCGAAACCAGCUGCCGUCCUCAACUGUAUCCACGGGAUCUUGGAGCUCAAGCCAUUGUAGCCAUCGCCGGUCAUCGAUCAGCAAUCAGCAAUCAGCAUCGAGCCGCAGCCCAGGCAGACGGUGCGCCUUCGCACGUUACCUACUGGCUGCGAUAAACAAGUUCAGCCCCGCUGUGUCCCAGGGUUCCGAGUGAGAGUGCAGCAGGGCCGGACUACAGUGCAGGUCACGUCUAGUCGAGGAGCGUGAGAUAACUUCUUAAUUCAUUAAUUAACUAAACCGAUUUUAUUCUAUUUUUCCAUAGUUUCAUUAUCCGUAGUACUAAACUUUGCUUAUGUUAUCGCUUCUUUUUACCAGUUACUUCAUUUUAUUAAAUUAAUUUACGAACUUUUUACUUAAUAUAUUAGAAACUUAUAAUUUUUAUUUAUCAUGGGAGGUGAAACUAGUGCAAGAGACUCAAGAUUUGCUGGAUCUUUUUGCUAAACGUAGCUCCAUAAAGGGCUAAAUACCUAAAUUUCGGAACUAUUUAACUCAAACAAGCUCAAAAGAAACAUUAAAUUCUCUUGAACUUGCUGAAUUGACACUUGAGCUUAGCAAAUUUGAGUCACUGUCAAAUCGAUUUGACGACUCAAAUAUAGGUUUUGAAUCGUAGUGAUUUCACAAACGAGGUUGAUGAGCGAGAUGACAUUGAGCAGUUAUUUAUUUCAAACAUCACUUCCGUACAAAGCAUUAUUAAACAACAUAAUGCAAGUAAACAUGACGAAAGUAAUUACAAAGAUCUUAACUCUAGUCAGCUAUCAUCAGCUCAGUGCAAUGUCUAUCAUCAUGAUGUUUUGGGAUUUAAAUUGCCCCAAAUACAAAUUGAUAAGUUUGACGCAUCAUAUUUCCGUUGGCUUGAGGAACGUGACACUUUUUUGAGUUUAAUUCAUAACAAUGAGCGAAUUGCUCCAAUUCAUAAGUUUCAUCAUUUAAUUUCAUACUUAACGGGUGAUGCAGCACGCAUUAUUACUAACUUCGAAGUUUCUAGUUCCAACUAAAAAAAUGCUUGGCAAUCAUUAUGUAGUCGUUAUGAUAAGGAUUUUGGUGCGCGGGCCUGAAAGAAGAUACAGAACGUUUUUGCGACAAAAAAUAUUUUAUUGUAAAAAAUGUUUAUAUUUGUAAAUUUGUCUUGAUUAGUAUAUAAAUAAUAGCUGUAAGUUGUUUAUAAUAAGUGUACGUAUAUAACUUGCUGUAUAUUCGGUAAGUUACUUGUAAAUUUUUGUUGAAAAAAUGGGCGCGCAAAAGCGCAAAAAACAUAAAGCUGAUGAGGUAAAAAGUACUGAAAUUAUGGAUUCUUACGCCGAAUCUGUGUCGACAGAUUCAGAUUAUUCCGACAAAUAUGAUGAUUGCAGAGAGGAUGAUAAGUAUGCUGCUUACAGCAGAGAGUUGAAAUAUAACUAGAGGAGCAAACCUCAGUACCUUGCGUACACAAAAGUGUAGCCGCUUUAUGCGACGAAGAUGUAGCUUUGAAACUAUUAAACAUUUUAAAUUAAUAUACAUCUCUCUUACUCUAGUUCACUAGUUACGCGGCGUAUCGUUAGUUGGAUAAAGAUGGUAAUAUUACUUGAAGCAGAACGAUUUAUGUUGCCUGCUAUAAGAAAUAUUUCGCCAGAAUAUUUAUUAUUUAAGCGAUAAUUAAUAAAUAAAAUAAUUUAACUAAAAUAAUUUUGAAUACACUUAAAUGAAGUUUUUUUUUAUUGCUUAGAUGGGUGGAAGAGCUCAAUAAUACUAAUACAAAUAAUGUAUAAUUGUGUAAUAAUUGUAUUUGUGUGUGUGUUUUUAUUUAUUCAGACAUAUAUUCAGAAACCAUUGUGGUAGCCAGAAUCAACUUGAUGAUCUACCUCGAAAAUUUCUGGAUUUCAUUAAUAUAAAAAUUUCCUAUAAUCAUUCGAAAAACAAAAGAUGUUUUACUUAGAAUAAAAACAAAUUUUACAGUACUCCAUAUUCUGAGAUUCUUAAAAAAAAAGAUUUUUCAUCUUUAAAUAAAACAGAAAAUACACAGGAUUUAACAAAUAUUAUAAUUUCAAACAAACAAGUUCUUUCUUUACUAUUAGAAUCACUAGUAAAAGUAAUGACAUUAAAUAAAAACGACAACACAAACAUAAAUUCACAAACAAUUUUAGAUUGCAAUAAGGAAACUAUACAAAAAAAGAAUGAUGGAUCAAGGAUCUCCCACAUUAAAAAUCACGCAGUGGAACGCACAAAGUCUGUUAAGCAAUCAAUUAGAGUUACAAAAAUUUCUGUAUGAAAAUGUUAUACAUAUUGCUUUAAUUUCAGAAAUAUGGUUAAGACCUCACAUAAAAUUUAAUAUUAGAAAUUACUCAGUUGUGAGAAAUGGCUGUGGCAAUUCUCACAACGGGGUAGCCAUUUUAAUUCAUAAUAGUAUACAAUACAAGAAAAUCAAUACCUUUUUUGAUGAUUCCCUGCAAAAUGUAGCCGUUAUAAUUAAAGUUUAUAAUUAACAGUUAUCAUGAAUAAGCUUUAACAGUCCUGGCCAAUGUACACCUAUUUUUGAAAAAAGGAAAUUUGAUAGUCUGUCGAGUGAUAUUCCAAAACCAUUAAAUAUUGCUGGCGAUUUUAAUGCUUUUCAUACUUCUUGGGGUUGUAGCAGAACUAACAUUAGGGGCAGAUUAAUCAUGGAUACCAUUGACGAUAAUGAUUUAGUGCUUUUAAAACGACGGACAACCUACAACAGCAGGUUCGCAUGUCUUCAGACCAAAUAAAUGGUCUUGAUUUAACAAU